GCGGCCUAUCAGCUUGUUGGUGAGGUAAUGGCUCACCAAGGCAACGACGGGUAGCCGGCCUGAGAGGGCGACCGGCCACACUGGGACUGAGACACGGCCCAGACUCCUACGGGAGGCAGCAGUGGGGAAUAUUGGGCAAUGGAGGAAACUCUGACCCAGCGACGCCGCGUGAGGGAUGAAGGCCUUCGGGUUGUAAACCUCUUUCAGUAGGGAAGAAGCGAAAGUGACGGUACCUACAGAAGAAGCACCGGCUAACUAUGUGCCAGCAGCCGCGGUAAUACAUAGGGUGCAAGCGUUGUCCGGAAUUAUUGGGCGUAAAGAGCUCGUAGGUGGUUCGAUACGUCGGAUGUGAAAAUCAGGGGCUCAACCCCUGACCUGCAUCCGAUACGGUCGAGCUAGAGUUUGGUAGGGGAGACUGGAAUUCCU
rnacentral:rRNA from 1 species